AUGUCGCAUAGAGGAUCCAAUGAGAAAACGCCUAUGCGGAUCUCUCGUGCUCAUGUGGUUCGAGCUCUGGUCGCCAAGUGAUUGUUCGGGUUCAAGUGUGGUUGGGUUUCGGUUUGGGUUCGGGUUCAUUGGUUUGAGUCAACGGGUCCAAACGUACAUGGCUACAACUACAAAGUUGGGCCAAUGGGGUGAGCCACGAGCUCAAAAUUUAAACUGAGACUCUUCUCCUACUCGGCUACUCUACUCCUCUUCCCUCGUUGUGCACACCCCGUGUUCGUUGUAUUGCCUCUGAGAGACGCACUCUUCGUUUUCGCUUCGUAUUUCUCAUGCACGCAACCUGUUCGCUCAAUUGCCUAGCCGAAAAAAGCUGUGCAACCCUUUGUUUGUCAUCAAUGGAGUAAUGCGUUCCAUGUCUCGUUCUCGUGUUCUCGCUAUACAAAACCAUGCGAAGCCACUUCUCGAUCGCAUAUCGUGCAAUUCGAUAUCCAUGGCCGUGCAAAAGCGCUUCAUGACGAAGAGUCGAAGGGUGCAGGACAGGAGCAAGAAGAAGCGCGUGCACGAUCUCGAGAUCACCACGGAGCGGUGGAAGGUGGUUUCGAAGGUUUUGGUGAUUAUGGAUGUUUUGAAGAAAGAGCCGGAACAGGUGAUCCCGCUAAGGCGGCUCGAGCAAUAUCGACAGCAGAUCAAUCUGAGCAAGCCACAUAAAGUUGCCGAUUUCAUCCGGAAAUCCCCCAAGCUCUUCGAUCUCUACAGGGACAGAAAAGGAGUUCUGUGGUGCGGUUUGACGAGCCGAGCUGAGGAGCUCGUCGAAGAAGAGGCCCGGCUUAUCGAAGAGCGCUCAGAGAAAGCCGCCGAGUACGUUACGCGGCUGCUUAUGAUGUCGGUCGAUAAGAGGCUUCCUGUGGACAAGAUAGCCAAUUUCAGAAGAGACAUGGGCCUUCCUUUCGAUUUCAGGACUAGGUGGAUCCAUAUGUUUCCGGAAUGCUUUAAAGUCGUUAGGGUCGAAGAUGCGGAGUACUUAAAGCUUGUGAAUUGGAACCCUUCUUGGGCUGUUACUGAGCUGGAGAUGAAAGCCGUGACAGAUGAGACUGAUCGACAGCUGCCAAGUUCGCCUGGAGAGCUCUGCCUCCCUUUUCCAGUAAGGUUUCCUCCGAAUUACAAGAAAAUCUUCAGAAUUGGCGGCAGGAUCGAACAUUUCCAAAAAAGAUCGUAUCUUUCCCCCUACGCCGAUGCGCAGGGGCUUACGCCUGGCUCGCAGGAGUUUGAUAAGAGGGCGGUCGCCAUUAUGCAUGAGAUAUUGAGCUUUACAUUGGAGAAGAGGCUCGUGACCGACCACCUCACUCACUUCCGUAGGGAGUUUGUGAUGCCGCAGAAGCUGAUGCGGCUUCUGCUGAAGCACUUUGGGAUCUUUUAUGUUUCCGAGAGGGGGAAGCGGUUCAGUGUGUUUUUGACAGAAGCGUACGAAGGUUCUGAGUUGAUAGAAAAAUGCCCUUUGGUGCUUUGGAAGGAAAAAGUUCUUCGACUUACUGGUUACAGAGGAAGGAUAAAGAGAACCAGAAGUUUUGAUGAGCUUUCCGAUACAGAGGAUGAUCUGUUUGAUGGUCACAGUGAAAGUCGGAGUGGCUAUAUGGAUAUUGAAGAUGAAGAGACAGAUGGCACCUUGGAAGAUGCUUCUCUUACCGAUGAUUCUGAGAUGGAUGUUGGGAAUUUAUAUGAUUCUUACCACGAUUGAGUUCUAAAGUUGGAUGCAAUCACGGGUUUGGAUGCACAUCUUUUCCUUGCCAAGAUGAUAUUCAUCAAUAUUAGAGGUACUCCAAUAUGAAAGCCAUUUCAUUAAAGAUUUGUACCUUUUUCGUUUAAACUACUUGGACUUUGAAAGGAUUCAGAUGUCAAUCACCAAUUCGCAUGAGGUUUCAAAUUCACAGCCAUGGGAAAGGUUAUUGAAUUUUUCUGUAGAGAAUUUAUCUCUGGAGAAAACCUAUAUUGUUUAGCCAUGUGAAGGGACAUACAUUGAAUGUUUGGCAUUAUGGGAGUCAAAUUGUGUGCACACCGACUUCGUCAGGACUCAUAGCAGCGGGAUCAUGGGGAGCCAGAUCAGGUAUACUGUGUAAACACUGACUUGGUUCAAUAUACAUGCUCUAUUAAUAACGCAACAUUUCUAUAAGAAGAGAUUGGGAAGUGGAUACAAUGGUAAGAGAAGCGAAAAUUGGAGUUCAAGUUGUAUGUUGCCUCAAGAUGUGAUACUCAGUAACUAGGCAAAUAAACCCUUCUUAUAAGCUAUAUUGCGUCUUACACCUGUUAGAGAAGGAUUGUGCAAUAUUUUGUCCUUUCACAAAGUGUUCUAGUCCGCUGCUCAUCCGGUGGACAAGAAAGAGAUGAAAAAGUGAGAAUAAGGUGAUUAUCGGUUAAUUAUUUAAAACAAUAGUAUUAUUAUGUGUGGUUUGUAGAGUAGAUGGAAGCAGUAUCUGGACAACAUAAUCUUUCUCAUCAAGAGGUUUACACAAAUCACUGGAUGGUGAGCUUUGAACACCUCCUGAUGAAACCAAUCACUUCUGCGUAGAUUCUCUUCUUAUUUUAGACUCCGGGGAGUAGACAUAACUACAGCUUGUUAUUUGCCACCAUUUUCUGCAUUGCAUUUAAAAGAGUGUAGAGCGAAGAUGCCCCUUCAUGGGUCAAUUCCAAGUGUUACUGCAGCUGCUAACUCCCUAUUGCUCUGAACUUGGCCCAUCUAUUAAUGAGAGAGUUUUUUGUAUUUUAUUUUA